UACGGAGGGGCUAGCGUUGUUCGGAAUUACUGGGCGUAAAGCGCGCGUAGGCGGACCUGCAAGUCGGGGGUGAAAGCCCGAGGCUCAACCUCGGAACUGCCUCGAUACUGCGGGUCUCGAGUCCGGGAGAGGUGAGUGGAACUGCGAGUGUAGAGGUGAAAUUCGUAGAUAUCAGGAGGAACACCGGUGGCGAAAGCGGCUCCUGGCCCGACCACUGACGGCUCAUGGUC
rnacentral:rRNA from 1 species